rnacentral:misc_RNA from 1 species
AAAUUCGCCUUGGCGUUAAGGUUUUUUGUUGUACACAGCAAAGCAAAGUCGGCAAGAUUUGAUAAGGAGUAAUUUUGCAUUAUCUUAGCAGUAUCAUGUAUAGAAAGUUGAUUUAUUUACAUUUCAAAAUGCGGGUAUUGUACCCUAGCUACAGCGUAUACUUCCAGUUACAUAUGCCAAAUGUGCGCCAAUCAAGUACAUCUACGGCUGCUAUAUAUACCGAAAAAAGAGUUCCAGCGAAUUUCUCAGAAAUCCCAAUAGAUCGUAUUCGAAAUUUCAGUAUAAUUGCGCACGUUGAUCAUGGAAAAAGUACUUUAGCAGACCGCAUAUUAGAAUUGACUGGGGCUAUACCACGGAAUUCAGGAGCUCAGUUUUUGGACAGCUUGCAAGUAGAACGUGAACGUGGUAUUACGGUAAAAGCGCAAACGGCUUCAAUAAUCCACACAUAUAAAAAUCAACAAUAUCUAUUAAAUCUUAUUGAUACGCCUGGCCAUGUAGAUUUCUCCAAUGAGGUUUCAAGAUCCUUGGCUGCAUGUGAUGGUGUUGUUAUGUUGGUUGAUGCUUGCCAUGGUGUUCAAGCCCAGACUGUGGCCAAUUACCAAUUAGCUAAGAUGCGAAAUUUGGCUAUAAUACCGGUACUGAACAAAAUAGAUAUUAAACAUGCAAAUCCUGAUCGUGUUCGAAAAGAUUUACACAGUUUGUUUGGAAUUGAUCCUAACACUGUUUUGAAGGUUUCCGCCAAAAUGGGGGUCAAUAUAACCACAGUCCUCGACAGCGUCAUAGAAAAAAUUCCACCACCUCUUGUGGAUCGCAGCUCUCCAUUUAGAGCUUUGAUAUUUGACAGUUGGUUUGAUAAAUACCGAGGUGCUUUGAAUUUAAUUUAUAUACUAAAUGGUACUCUAAAAGUUGGACAAGAGAUUCAGUCCAUGGCUACAAAAAAGUCAUAUUCUGUUAAAGGUAUAACUAUUUUGUGUCCGAACGAGUCGCAAGUUGAAAGCAUCUCAGCAGGUCAGGUGGGCCUACUCGCGUGUAACAUGCGAAAUAGCAAAGAAUCAAUUAUUGGCGACACAAUUCAUAGAAAAAACGAGAAUGUUAUUCCAGCUGUUAGCUUCAAGCGACAACAACCAAUGGUGUACGCAGGUGUUUAUCCCGCGGACCAGUCAAAGCAUUUAGCUUUGCGCAGUGCUAUUGAAAAACUGGUUUUAAACGAUUCGGCGGUCACAGUAAAAGUAGACUCAAGUCCAGCUUUGGGCCAAGGUUGGCGUUUAGGCUUUCUUGGUUUACUACAUAUGGAAGUAUUCUGCCAGCGAUUGGAACAAGAGUAUGGUGCGGAUCCAGUAAUUACCGCGCCAUCCGUAACAUAUCGCAUUGUUUUCAAGAACCCAAAAAUUAUAAAGCAAAUGGGAAAGGACACAUUAGAACUUUCCAACGCAGCCCUUUUCCCAGAGCCUUUCAAUGUCAAGGAAUACUAUGAACCACUAGUGAAAGUAGGUACAAUAAUUACGCCCACAGAAUAUAUGGGUCAAAUAAUAAGCUUGUGUGUUGAUCGUCGCGGGAUACAGGAGUCUUCAAUCAAUAUAGACGAUGAACGUAUUUUAAUGAAGUACAUUUUACCGCUCAGUGAAAUAAUACUUGACUUUAAUGAUCAUUUGAAGUCAAUUAGCUCCGGCUAUGCUAGCUUUAAUUAUGAAGAUUACGGAUACCAUCUUACAAAUAUCGUACGACUAGAUAUUCAUCUUAAUGGUCGUCCAGUAGAAGAAUUGUGCCGUAUCGUGCAUGUCUCAAAGGCAAGUACUAUAGCUCGCGAAAUGGUAACCAAAUUACAAGAACUAAUACCAAGGCAAAUGGUACAAAUAGCCAUACAAGCUUGUGUGGGUGGAAAAGUGCUGGCGCGUGAAACUAUAAAAGCUUAUAGAAAAGACGUAACAGCCAAAUUGUAUGGAGGUGACGUUACCCGUCGUAUGAAGCUUCUAAAACAACAAGCAGAAGGAAAAAAGAAAAUGCGUAUGUUCGCCAAUAUCCGUGUGCCACAUGAAACUUUCAUAAACGUAUUGAAGCGGUAGUACGAGUAAAUAUGAUGGAACAUAUGAUAUAAAGGAUACCGUUUAUAUAUAGGCGAUAAGAAGGCGUUUAUGCCACCAAGUCACACCGCAGUUUUCGUGUACUUUUUCACGCCCCGACGCCGAGUUACGGAACUUACUGCGCGGCGAUGGAAUUCAGCGCCCAAUAAAUUAUGUAUAAAAUAAGUAUGAAUAACAGUACUUUUCAACAAUUAAAUUUUUCAAAUUUGGAUUAAGUUGUUCGCAAACGGUUAUGCAACACUUAGACUUGACUUAACUUACUUAUAAACGUAGAAACGAGUACUCUCCGUGUCACCUGUUACCUUUUCUCUUUGGUUUGAUUCUCAGCACUUGUAUUUGUGCACUAAAAUUGUAAACGUUUAAUUUGUUUGCUUUAAAAA